UGCAAGUCGAGCGGAUGGAAGGGAGCUUGCUCUCCUGACACGUCAGCGGCGGACGGGUGAGUAACACGUGGGCAACCUGCCCCUAAGAUCGGGAUAACUUCGGGAAACCGGAGCUAAUACCGGAUAUGAUUAUUUCUCACAUGAGAGAUAAUGGAAAGACGGUUUCGGCUGUCACUUAGGGAUGGGCCCGCGGCGCAUUAGCUAGUUGGUGAGGUAACGGCUCACCAAGGCGACGAUGCGUAGCCGACCUGAGAGGGUGAUCGGCCACACUGGGACUGAGACACGGCCCAGACUCCUACGGGAGGCAGCAGUAGGGAAUCUUCCGCAAUGGACGAAAGUCUGACGGAGCAACGCCGCGUGAGUGAAGAAGGUUUUCGGAUCGUAAAACUCUGUUGUUAGGGAAGAACAAGUACCAUAGUAACUGAUGGUACCUUGACGGUACCUAACCAGAAAGCCACGGCUAACUACGUGCCAGCAGCCGCGGUAAUACGUAGGUGGCAAGCGUUGUCCGGAUUUAUUGGGCGUAAAGCGCGCGCAGGCGGUCUUUUAAGUCUGAUGUGAAAGCCCACGGCUCAACCGUGGAGGGUCAUUGGAAACUGGGAGACUUGAGUGCAGAAGAGGAGAGUGGAAUUCCACGUGUAGCGGUGAAAUGCGUAGAGAUGUGGAGGAACACCAGUGGCGAAGGCGACUCUCUGGUCUGUAACUGACGCUGAGGCGCGAAAGCGUGGGGAGCGAACAGGAUUAGAUACCCUGGUAGUCCACGCCGUAAACGAUGAGUGCUAAGUGUUAGAGGGUUUCCG
rnacentral:rRNA from 1 species